AAGACAAGAAAUUGAUGAACGACAUUAAAACGUGUAUUCCAGAAAAGGUUUUGAACUGGUGGUACGCAACGUGCAUUGCUCUCCUUUAAAAGGACAGACCUGGAUGGUGAGAUGACGUCAGGGGGUGGAAUUUCAAUAUGGAGCCUGGGGCAGACGGGGAAAGCGGAGUUUUCAAUGGAAAUCUUGUGAAGUGUUGAGAUAAUGGGCCAGCCAAACAGGAAUACCAAACACAGUUUUUAGGUUUCAGUUUUAAUGCAUAGUUAUUAACUACAGUGUUUCUAAACUACGUUAUAUUUGCGAAACAGUUAAUUAGCAUUAGGAUAACCAUUUCGUUGGAAAAGCAAAUCAGAACUAAGGAAAUAACUUUUCUUGUCCACGGCUCGCUGUUUGUCAAAUGUCUGGUAUUUGUUGUAAUGCUUUUUGUGAAAACCGAGCACAAAGAAUAUAACAUAACUUAAAUCCUGUGUUUUUUUAGUAAUCAAAAAAAAAAAAAAAGAAAGAAAGAAACGCGGUGUUAAGAAAGUUUGACUCGGUUUGACUGGAGUUGGUGUGUUUAUCUUGGUAUGACUGCAGCUGUCCUUGAAUAAGAGAUUUCCACGAUUUGGAAUCCCCCGGAACAGCGUUAAAGAUAGUGGAAUGGAAAAGACUAGUCCCUUUCUCCUGGCAAACAAAGAAGGAUGUCGAGACGCCCUGCCUGCCUGCUCUACGCCGCACAGAUAAAACAUUCAUGAACAAUGCAAGGAAACCCCUAAUGUUUGUAGGACAAGAAUCUGCAAAAUGAAAGAAACAGAAGAAUUUAUUAUUUCAAAAGACUUUGUGAGUUAUAACUGAAAUUACACGUUGCGCUAGGUCGACAAGGACUUAAUCAUCGCACUGGAAUCGUCGGUGCAUUUUUAUUCUUGCAGGUUGUCUGCAAUGUGGACGCUUAUUUUAUUAAUAAUUAAGUAGUGUUUAUUUGUUUACCCCCCCCCCCCCCCCA